UGGGUGGGAGAGGAGGGUCAUAGUUUGAGUGGACAGUUGAAAGUAUUAUAUCUUGUAUUACAGGACGAAAGCAACAGAUAAACUUAGACAAACUCUAAUAAUUGUGUCGUAAGAAAUUGGGCAGAUUUCGUUAACAGGUCCAUGGAGAUGGAUAGUCUGCGGACCUUCCUGAGGCUGCAGGUAGCACCGUACUGGAAGUCUGUGGUGGUGUUCCUAACGCCGCUGCUCCUCCUGCCCUUCCCAAUAAUCUUCACCGGUUCCGGUGGAGGCACUGUCGUUACCUCUGGGACUCAGUCCGGCGUACCGUUUUCGCUGAAUAUCUUCAUAAAUAUUAGCUUGAUUACACUCCAGCAACACGUCAAGCCAUAUAAAAAACUUGUCGCCACUCCGCCUGCUGGAUGCUAAAGCCCCUUGGUACUAAAACCUCAUCUGUCUCCAUAAAUAAUCUGCAGGCGUCUCAGCAUACCACCUACAUUUUUCUCUUCGUGUAUUCUAUGACUCACUUUGUCUUUCAUAGACAUAUCUGCCGACGUGUCUAGUCCCAAUUACCUAACCUCACUUCCUCCAUACUCACUCCAACUGGUUAUCCAACUUUUCAUUGCUUAAACGUUUUGUUACUCUCAUCACUUUGUUUUUUCUAUGUUCACUUUUAAUUUCCCUCUUUUACACACCCAAAUUCCUCCACCAACUUUUACAACUUAUUCACAACCUCUCAAAAGAACUGUUAUUGGCAGAGUACAAGUGACAACUCCUACUUAAUAUUAUUAAUUUUUUUUCUCCGACAACGGUGUAUUGUAUUUAUAUUAUUACUAAUGAAAAGCUCGGAUUAGUUUUGGAUUGUGUAGCUAUGAAUUUGUCUUUUUUGUUUUACCAAAAUAGGAGAUUGGUUUCUCAAAAUAACUUCAGAACUCCUCUUCAUAUCGUCUUCAAACUUUCAAUCCUUGUGUAGUUUGUCUUACAAAAUAUCUUAUCUAGACUCGUUGGAAUCCGUGCGAUAAUUGGAAAAAAGCCUGUUCCUAUCAGCUUCAGAUUUUCAGCCCAAGUUUGUUGUCCAGAAAGCAAGGAAGAUUACUGGGCUGCGUGAGUUCAGAUUUGGGCUUUGUAGAGGCCAAUUUAUCAGUUUCAUUUGGGGAAAUGAGGACGUUUCGCUUACCUCUGUGGGGCACUAAGUUAUUGGAGGGCUAACACUAAUUUAACAACAUAUAAUAUCAGAUUUAUAUAAUAGUCACUGUGGUCGCAUCUGAAACCAUAAGGGCAAUUUUAUAGAUAUGGUUUUUAUUUUUUUUUACACUACACUAUAUACCUAGCAUAACACUGAGAAAUUAUGUGUGUGAGGUUUACAGUCACAGUUCUGAAUUAUUUCACCUAUAUAACUGGGAAGAACUCUCAGCACAACUAAAACAGUUAUUACACUUAUUGAUACUAGCUGUACCUCAAAGACAGGUGGGACUUUAGAACAGUGGGCCAAAUCACUGUCGCUCCUUCGAUGUCCACCUACAGCCUAGGUUCCCACACUCACACAAUCUGGACCUUAAAAUUAGGAACAUAGAGUACCAGAAUUAUAAUAAGAAAAAUCAUAUCAGUAACACUGAUAAAUUAGGUUGUGGACUGUAUAAUUAGGAUUUACUGACUUGACAUUCAGAAGUUUGUUGGUCCUCGAUUUAUUACAUGUAUUCAUAAGGUAGAACAUUAAGAGAGUGCACAUAAGUGUUGAGCACAUUUACUAACCAAGUUAUUAUCUUGGUAAUACAUUUUAACGCCUUACUAGCAAGCAAAAUACUGAAUGUUGGCCAAUGUUAGUUAUUUUACCUUACUGAUGAGUUGAUAUCAUAUUUCAGCUGGCGAGGAUAAAAUUAUUGUAGAUGCACGUGAUGAUCCAGUGUCUUCCAAUCACAGCAUCAAGUAUUAUCUUACUUAUCAGCUCUAUUCUAGCUGAAUAAAUACGGAUCUGAACACUUCCAGAUACCCACGACAUUCACGCAAUUCAUGGAACCCAAUUAUUGCCGAUUCACUUUUCGUCGGCUACGAUUGCACAAGAUUAAAUUUGGUAACAAUCACCAUUCACGUUUAUAUUCUGCCAUUUUACGCUGCACUUCUUGGUGUGUUGGUUCUUUUGACAUUCGACAUUUUUCUAAAAGUCACACCAACACAUAUAAACAUUGUUAUAUUCUUCUAUUUUUAUACACUAAUUUCAGGAAAAUUAAAAAAAAAAUCCACAGUAUUACAUCGUAUACCGGAAAUAACAAUUCUCAAUACAUCUGGCAUAACUACAGUAUACACCGAGUAUAACAUUAUACACAACAUGUAUGAUGGCAGGUCACUGUUAAUACUGGUCUCUGACGUCAGGAACUGGAGGUUGAGGAAAGUAGGAAAACCUGUGUUUGAUGGUCACAACUCGUUUGUUUCCUAGUAUGACAUUCUUCAACUCUAGGUUACCAACCUUUUUAAUAAUUAGCUGUUGCUUAUUUCUAAGUGAGAGAGAGAGAGAGUGGGAGAUAUAUACCUAAAGAUUUUUGACACAAGGAUUACGUAUUCACGUCCGCCGGGUAGUGAGCCUCGUUGUGUCACAAGUACCAGACAUUUAUAUCGUCUCCAACAGAGAGCAAAACUUUCUCAAUUAUAUAAAAAAAAAAUUGUUCCUUUUUACAGCAAUGCUCUUUCAUCUGUUUUCUUCUGUUUUUCUGUAUACAAAUUUUCCUAAAUCUCAUUAUUCACCGCCGUUAUUUAUUCUCCUUAUUUUUGAUAAUAUUAAAAAAGUAAUAAAGACCCAGUGCAACAAAUUAUGUUGUGGAGACGAUCAAAAAUAGCCUCGGAAAAAAAAAAUCAAGAAAAAAUCUAUUGCUUCAGAAUUUUCUUCCCCUGGCACUACCCAUUUUUUAUCAAAGAAUAUAUUGAUGUAAUGAUACGUGUGCAUUGUUAAAUAAUAGACACACGUUGCAGAUGCUUUUAUUGGGACGAUGUUUCUAUGUGUACUUGACUGAAGUAGCCUACUGUGUAGGCGAAACGUUUCGGAUUAAAGUUGCUUAUGUGUCUUACUUACCAACCUGUUGGUAUUGUAUACCAUUUUGAUAUUCACUGUCAGACACUGCAACACAUGGAUAAGUUUUUCAAGUGAAAAUUGUUUGAUCUGAGAGGGACGUGACCUCCCAGUGGCUACAUUCUCACUACUACUACUACUACUACUACUACUACUACUACUACUACUACUACUACUACUACUACUACUACUACUACUACUACUACUACUACUACUACUACUACUACUACUACUACUACUACUACUACUACUACUACUACUACUACUACUACUACUACUACUACUACUACUACUGGGGGCUCUGGUAGCCUGGUGGUUAAAGCUCUCGCUUCACACGGCGAGGGCCCGGUUUCGAUUCCCAGCCAGAGUAGAAACAUUGGGCGUGUUUCCACCUGUUGUCUGUUCCCCAUCAGUAAAAUGGGUACCUGGGUGUUAGUCGACUGGUGUGGGUCGCAUCCUGGGACACUGACCUAAUUUGCCCGAAAUGUUCAGCAUAACAAGCGGCUUCCUAUAUAGUAAUAUGUCAACUAGGCCUGUAUACCAUGUACAUGUAGUAAAUAAAGAUGUCAGGAGAAUUGAUAGGGAACAGUGUAGUAAAGAAAGCGAAUGCCAGACUGAAGUUCCUAUAUAGACAAGCACAGUGUCUACCUACUGAGGCUCGCAGGACCCUAUGUCUAGCCCUUAUACAAUGCCAUAUGGAUUACGCUUGCUCUUCGUGGUACUCUGCCUUGACAAAAAAAAUGAAAGAUAGGCUGCAAAUCACCCAGAACAAAAUCGUAAGAUUCAUCCUGGGGCUGGGACCAAGAGAACAUGUAGGCCAGGAUGAAUUACAGCAGUUGGAUAUGCUGAAUAUUGAAGACAGAGUAAAACAACUGAAGCUAAAUCAUGUUUAUAAAAUUGCUCACAAACAAUGUCCAGAAUAUCUUGCUGUCAAUUUUGUCAAGGUUGGGAACCAAAGCAAUCAUAGUACUAGGGGGAGAGAGCACAACUUUGUAGUACCCACAGUCAUUGGCCAGGCUUCAAACACCUUUUAUUGUACAGCAAUAAAGAAAUGGAACAGACUUCCCGCACAUGUCAAAGCCACUCAUAGUAUGAACCAGUUCAAGAAGAGUGCCAAAAGGUGUCUGAUGAAUGUAGCUACAGAAAGGGAGGGGAAUGAUUUUCUAUUUUUUAGCUAAAAUACGUGUAAAUUUUACCAUAUUCAAAUUCAAAUUCAAAGUUUAUUCUCUAUAAGGAUUACAAUGCUGAGUUUACAGAAAUUUGGUUAUUGUUUGGUUUACAUGUAGUAAAAUUGCGAUUACAGAGUGUACCACUAGAACGCUUAGCAUGGCUAGGCAUUUCGGGCAUACUUAGUUUUAUUCUUAAUUGUAAAAUAUUACAAAUUAUGAGGUAAGUUGGUAUUAUGGCUAAGUGACUAAAUACUAGUUUGUGAGUUUAGCAAUGUGAAUGCUUUUGUUUUGGCACAGUAUAUAGUUUCAGUAUUGGAGUAUCACAGGAUUCAUUAUUUUAAGACUGAGAUUAAUAUUUCUGUUUAUGGUCAAAUGAGUGAGCGAGUGUAAGUGUGAACCACCAGGUGGUAUUCGUGUAGUUAGUUGACGGGGUGUAUCAGGGAGAUAAGAUGUUUUCUAAUGGUAGUUUUGAAGGUGAUGAAGGUGUCUGCAGUUCUAGAGUUCUCAGGUAGGGUAUUCCAGAUUUUAGGGCCUUUGACAUACAUUGAAUUUUUGUAAAGGUUUAAUCGGACACGGGGAAUGUCGUAGAGAUGUUUGUUUCUGGUGUUAUGCUGUGUUAUGCCUAUUCCUAGUAAUGACCCUCGUAUUGUAGAUAGUCUUAAUGACCCUCGUGUAGUAGAUAGUCUUUUUAGUAUGAUAAUAAGAUGUUAUCUUCAUUGUAGAAUAAUAAGAAAAUAUUAUAACCUUCAUAUUAUAAUAAUAAGGUAAAAGGACCCCAAUGGAAAUAAGUCACUCUGACUUUUUUGGGUUAUCCCAGGUUCUCUACACAUAUGCUGCUAUGUAUGAUAAUUCUAUGUAACUGUAUUUGUGUAUACCUGAAUAAACUUACUUACUUACUUACUUAUU